rnacentral:rRNA from 1 species
GAUGAACGCUGGCGGCGUGCUUAACACAUGCAAGUCGAACGAAGCACUUUAUUUGAUUUCUUCGGAAUGAAGAUUUUGUGACUGAGUGGCGGACGGGUGAGUAACGCGUGGGUAACCUGCCUCAUACAGGGGGAUAACAGUUGGAAACGACUGCUAAUACCGCAUAAGCGCACAGGGUCGCAUGACCUGGUGUGAAAAACUCCGGUGGUAUGAGAUGGACCCGCGUUGGAUUAGCUGGUUGGCAGGGCAGCGGCCUACCAAGGCGACGAUCCAUAGCCGGCCUGAGAGGGUGAACGGCCACAUUGGGACUGAGACACGGCCCAGACUCCUACGGGAGGCAGCAGUGGGGAAUAUUGCACAAUGGGGGGAACCCUGAUGCAGCGACGUCGCGUGAAGGAAGAAGUAUCUCGGUAUGUAAACUUCUAUCAGCAGGGA